CCUACGGGAGGCAGCAGUGGGGAAUCUUGCGCAAUGGGCGAAAGCCUGACGCAGCAACGCCGCGUGCGGGAAGAAGGCUUUCGGGCUGUAAACCGCUUUCAGCAGGAACGAAAAUGACGGUACCUGCAGAAGAAGGAGCGGCCAACUAUGUGCCAGCAGCCGCGGUGAUACAUAGGCUUCAAGCGUUGUCCGGAUUUAUUGGGCGUAAAGAGUUCGUAGGCGGUCGAGUAAGUCGGGUGUGAAAAUUCUGGGCUCAACCCAGAGACGCCACCCGAUACUGCUUAACUUGAGUUCGAUAGGGGAGUGGGGAAUUCCUAGUGUAGCGGGUGAAAUGCGCAGAUAUUAGGAGGAACACCGGUGGCGAAGGCGCCACUCUGGAUCGAUACUGACGCUGAGGAACGAAAGCAUGGGUAGCAAACAGGAUUAGGAUACCCUGGUAGUCCAUGCCGUAAACGGUGGGCACUAGGUGUGGGAUUCUAUUAACGAAUUCCGCGCCGUCGCUAACGCAUUAAGUGCCCCGCCUGGGGAGUACGGUCGCAAGACUAAAACUCAAAUGAAUUGACGG
rnacentral:rRNA from 1 species